UAUCAUUAACUGAAUCCAUAGGUUAAUGAGGCGAACCGGGGGAACUGAAACAUCUAAGUACCCCGAGGAAAAGAAAUCAACCGAGAUUCCCCCAGUAGCGGCGAGCGAACGGGGAGGAGCCCAGAGCCUGAAUCAGCAUGUGUGUUAGUGGAAGCGUCUGGAAAGGCGCGCGAUACAGGGUGACAGCCCCGUACACAAAAGCGCAUGUGCUGUGAGCUCGAUGAGUAGGGCGGGACACGUGGUAUCCUGUCUGAAUAUGGGGGGACCAUCCUCCAAGGCUAAAUACUCCUGACUGACCGAUAGUGAACCAGUACCGUGAGGGAAAGGCGAAAAGAACCCCGGCGAGGGGAGUGAAAAAGAACCUGAAACCGUGUACGUACAAGCAGUGGGAGCCCCACCACUAAGCCAGUGGUGAACUCCACAUCCGCA
rnacentral:rRNA from 1 species